rnacentral:rRNA from 1 species
GAUGAACGCUGGCGGCGUGCCUAAUACAUGCAAGUCGAGCGAACAGACGAGGAGCUUGCUCCUCUGACGUUAGCGGCGGACGGGUGAGUAACACGUGGAUAACCUACCUAUAAGACUGGGAUAACUUCGGGAAACCGGAGCUAAUACCGGAUAAUAUAUUGAACCGCAUGGUUCAAUAGUGAAAGACGGUUUUGCUGUCACUUAUAGAUGGAUCCGCGCCGCAUUAGCUAGUUGGUAAGGUAACGGCUUACCAAGGCAACGAUGCGUAGCCGACCUGAGAGGGUGAUUGGCCACACUGGAAUUGAGACACGGUCCAGACUCCUACGGGAGGCAACAGUAGGGAAUCUUCCGCAAUGGGCGAAAGCCUGACGGAGUAACGCCGCGUGAGUGAUGAAGGUCUUCGGAUCGUAAAACUCUGUUAUUAGGGAAGAACAAAUGUGUAAGUAACUAUGCACGUCUUGACGGUACCUAAUCAGAAAGCCACGGCUAACUACGUG